GAUGAACGCUAGCUACAGGCUUAACACAUGCAAGUCGAGGGGUAACGAGAGGAAAGCUUGCUUUCCUUGUCGACGACCGGCGCACGGGUGAGUAACGCGUAUCCAACCUGCCCCCAACUAGGGAAUAACCUUGCGAAAGUAAGACUAAUACCCUAUAAUUUCCUCAGAUGACAUCUGACGAGGAAUAAAGAUUUAUCGGUUGUGGAUGGGGAUGUGUCUGAUUAGCUUGUUGGCGGGGUAACGGCCCACCAAGGCAACGAUCAGUAGGGGUUCUGAGAGGAAGGUCCCCCACAUUGGAACUGAGACACGGUCCAAACUCCUACGGGAGGCAGCAGUGAGGAAUAUUGGUCAAUGGGCGGAAGCCUGAACCAGCCAAGUAGCGUGCAGGAUGACGGCCCUAUGGGUUGUAAACUGCUUUUAUACAGGAAUAAAGUUAGCCACGUGUGGUUAUUUGUAGGUACUGUAUGAAUAAGGACCGGCUAAUUCCGUGCCAGCAGCCGCCUAAUAC
rnacentral:rRNA from 1 species